GGAGCAGAGCAUGAGGGGAGAAGGGAGCCCAAAAGGGAGCCCAAAAAGCCCCGGCAUCCCUGAAUGGGGAGCGAAGAGGGGGCAGCUUUUGGGAUUGCUGGGACUGCCAGCAGGCUGGGGAGGGCAGGCACCGAGGAGAAGGGGGACCCCCAAUGCAAGCGUGACCCCAGCAGCUGGGACAGGGGGAACCCCGAACACCUGAGGGGAGGGAGCAGGGGUGGGGAACUCCUGGGAGGCUUUUUCCAGGCUGACUUGUGGCGUUUGGGAGGUUUUUCUGGAGCCCCAAUGGUAGGUGACUUGUAGAGAUGCACUUGGGCAGAGGGACCUUCAAACUCAAUGUGCUCAUCCUUUGUUUUCCUCAAACCAGGAUUUCCAUUGCCAACCCCCAUUGAGGCUGUGAGGAAAAUGCCCCAGAACAUGCAAGCAGAGCAGGAGCUGAGCAUGGAGAGCAGGGAGGACAAAUCCCCGCGGCAGAAGCAGGUGGCAGAGGCCGUUUUGAGCGGCUCCACGGCGCAGGAACCCAACGGGGAGGAAAAGCCCUGGAGAUGCUGCACGAGGAGGGGCUGCAAACGCAGAUGGCGGGGAUGUGAGGGGGAAAGAGCCAGCCUGGGCCGGGAAGGUGGACAGAGCUUCAGCCAGAGCUUGGAGCUGGUGGUCCAUGAGCAGGUUCCUGAUGGGGAGAAGCCUCACAGGUGCUUGGAGUGUGGGAAGAGCUUCUGGUUGAUCACCAACCUGAUCGUGCACCAGAGAACCCACACUGGGGAACGGCCCUACGAGUGUGGGGAGUGUGGGAAAGGCUUCAGGUGCAGCUCUGAGCUCAUCACUCACUAACGCAUCCAUACCGGGGAGAGGCCCUAUGACUGUCCCGAGUGUCAGAAGAGGUUUCAGACCAGCUCCAGUCUCCUCCAGCAUCAAUGGAUUCACACAGAGGAGAGGCCCUUCCGCUGCCCAGACUGCAGGAAGGGCCUCAACUGCAACACAAACUUCGCCAGGCACCGGUGCAUCCACAGCGGGGAGAGGCCCUACGAGUGUCCCCAGUGUGGGAAGAGCUUUACCCACAGCUCUAACUUGACCAAACACCAACAGAGUCACCAGUAAGGGAAGUUCUGCAAGUGCCCUGAGUGUGGGAAGAGCCUCGUGUGCUGCUCCAGCUUCAUCCCCCAUUGGAGAACCCGCAUUGGGAAGAGACCUGCUGAUCCAUGUUCCCUGUGAUCCAUGGUGGGAAGACACUUGCCACUUUUCCUGCCCCUGCUAGUGACCUGAUGUAGGAUUGAAGAACAAGAGGGUCUGGCCAGAGCCAUGUCAUUACAUUCACUCCCACCUCAGGUCAUUGCCAGGGGCAGGAAAGGGACUCUCUCUCUCUCCCUGAGGAGAAAGGUGUCCUUUCCAGGCAGGAGGAAAUACGUGGCCAGGAAGAGCCACUCAGUGGUGAUGUUGUAGUUUUCCCUGUAAAUAGUUUUUCUUAUCCCUUCUGUUAUCAAUAUUGCUUUUGUUCCUGUUUAUUCCUUAUCUCAUUGCUGUUCCCAGUAAAUUGUUCUUAUCCCA